GACGUCGAAUGUCGACGUUAUAAACACCAAAGUUGAUCAUGUUUAUGACGUCGAAUAUCGACGUUAUAAACGCCGAAGUUGAUCGUUUUUAUGCCGUCGAAUAUCGAUGUCAUAAACACCAAAGUUGAUCGUGUUUAUGACGUCGUAUAUCGACGUCAUAAACAUCAAAGUUGAUCGUAUUUAUGACGUCGAAUAUCGACGUC
rnacentral:miRNA from 1 species